rnacentral:rRNA from 1 species
GAUGAACGCUGGCGGCGUGCCUAAUACAUGCAAGUCGAGCGAACAGACGAGGAGCUUGCUCCUCUGACGUUAGCGGCGGACGGGUGAGUAACACGUGGAUAACCUACCUAUAAGACUGGGAUAACUUCGGGAAACCGGAGCUAAUACCGGAUAAUAUAUUGAACCGCAUGGUUCAAUAGUGAAAGACGGUUUUGCUGUAACUUCUAGAUGGAUCCGCGCCGCAUUAGCUAGUUGGUAAGGUAACGGCUUACCAAGGCAACGAUGCGUAGCCGACCUGAGAGGGUGAUCGGCCACACUGGAACUGAGACACGGUCCAGACUCCUACGGGAGGCAGCAGUAGGGAAUCUUCCGCAAUGGGCGAAAGCCUGACGGAGCAACGCCGCGUGAGUGAUGAAGGUCUUCGGAUCGUAAAACUCUGUUAUUAGGGAAGAACAAAUGUGUAAGUAACUAUGCACGUCUUGACGGUACCUAAUCAGAAAGCCACGGCUAACUACGUG